rnacentral:rRNA from 1 species
AUUGAACGCUGGCGGCAGGCCUAACACAUGCAAGUCGAGCGAGCGGCGGACGGGUGAGUAAUGUAUGGGGACUGCCCGAUAGAGGGGGAUAACUACUGGAAACGGUAGCUAAUAACGCAUACUAUCGGAUAACCCCUAUGGGAUUAGCUAGUUGGUGAGGUAAGUGCUCACACAGGCGACGAUCCCUAGCUGGUUUGAGAGGACGACCAGCCACACUGGGACGGAGACACGGCCCAGACUCCGACGGAGGCAGCAGUGGGGAAUUUUGGACAAUGGGGGAAACCCUGAUCCAGCCAUCCCGCGUGUAUGAUGAAGGCCUUCGGGUUGUAAAGUACUUUUGGCAGAGAAGCGGUAUCUGCAGAAUAAGCACCGGCUAACUACGUGCCAGCAGCCGCGGUAAUAC